rnacentral:rRNA from 2 species
AAUGCAAGUCGAACGAACUCUGGUAUUGAUUGGUGCUUGCAUCAUGAUUUACAUUUGAGUGAGUGGCGAACUGGUGAGUAACACGUGGGAAACCUGCCCAGAAGCGGGGGAUAACACCUGGAAACAGAUGCUAAUACCGCAUAACAACUUGGACCGCAUGGUCCGAGCUUGAAAGAUGGCUUCGGCUAUCACUUUUGGAUGGUCCCGCGGCGUAUUAGCUAGAUGGUGGGGUAACGGCUCACCAUGGCAAUGAUACGUAGCCGACCUGAGAGGGUAAUCGGCCACAUUGGGACUGAGACACGGCCCAAACUCCUACGGGAGGCAGCAGUAGGGAAUCUUCCACAAUGGACGAAAGUCUGAUGGAGCAACGCCGCGUGAGUGAAGAAGGGUUUCGGCUCGUAAAACUCUGUUGUUAAAGAAGAACAUAUCUGAGAGUAACUGUUCAGGUAUUGACGGUAUUUAACCAGAAAGCCACGGCUAACUACGUGCCAGCAGCCGCGGUAAUACGUAGGUGGCAAGCGUUGUCCGGAUUUAUUGGGCGUAAAGCGAGCGCAGGCGGUUUUUUAAGUCUGAUGUGAAAGCCUUCGGCUCAACCGAAGAAGUGCAUCGGAAACUGGGAAACUUGAGUGCAGAAGAGGACAGUGGAACUCCAUGUGUAGCGGUGAAAUGCGUAGAUAUAUGGAAGAACACCAGUGGCGAAGGCGGCUGUCUGGUCUGUAACUGACGCUGAGGCUCGAAAGUAUGGGUAGCAAACAGGAUUAGAUACCCUGGUAGUCCAUACCGUAAACGAUGAAUGCUAAGUGUUGGAGGGUUUCCGCCCUUCAGUGCUGCAGCUAACGCAUUAAGCAUUCCGCCUGGGGAGUACGGCCGCAAGGCUGAACUCAAAGGAAUUGACGGGGGCCCGCACAAGCGGUGGAGCAUGUGGUUUAAUUCGAAGCUACGCGAAGAACCCUUACCAGGUCUUGACAUACUAUGCAAAUCUAAGAGAUUAGACGUUCCCUUCGGGGACAUGGAAAACAGGUGGUGCAUGGUGUCGUCAGCUCGUGUCGUGAGAUGUUGGGUAAGUCCCGCACGAGCGCAACCCUUAUUAUCAGUUGCCAGCAUAAAGUUGGCACCUCUGGUGAGACU